AUUUUGGACAAUGGGUGAAAGUCUGAUCCAGCAAUGCCGCGUGUAGGACGAUGGCCUUCGGGUUGUAAACUGCUUUUGUACGGAACGAAAAGCAUCGGGUUAAUACCCUGCAGUCAUGACAGUACCGUAAGAAUAAUCACCGGCUAACUACGUGCUACCAGCCGCGGUAAUACGUAGGGUGCAACCGUUAAUCGGAAUUACUUGGCGUAAAGCGUGGGCAGGCGGUUUUGUAAGACAGAGGUGAGAGCCCCGGGCUCAACCUGGGAAGUGCCUUUGUGACUGCAAGGGUAGAGUACGGCAGAGGGGGGUGGAAUUCCGCGUGUAGCAGUGAAAUGCGUAGAUAUGCAGAGGAACACCGAUGGCGAAGGCAACCCCCUGGGCCUGUACUGACGCUCAUGCACGAAAGCGUGGGGAGCAAACAG
rnacentral:rRNA from 1 species